rnacentral:rRNA from 2 species
GACAGAGGGUGCAAACGUUGUUCGGAUUUACUGGGCGUAAAGCGCGUGUAGGCGGCUUUGCAAGUCGGAUGUGAAAGCCCACGGCUCAACCGUGGAAGUGCAUCCGAAACGGCAUGGCUGGAGUCCCGGAGAGGAAGGUGGAAUGCUUGGUGUAGAGGUGAAAUUCGUAGAUAUCAAGCAGAACACCUGCGGCGAAGGCGGCCUUCUGGACGGUGACUGACGCUGAGACGCGAAAGCGUGGGGAGCAAACAGG